CCCUUAGAUGUUCUGGGCGGCCCGCGCACUACAAUGGCGUGUGCAGCGAGUGCCGAAGUAGAGUUUUCCGAGGUAUUCUUGCAAUGCUCGUUUUGAUGGGGAUAGACCCUUGCAACUGUUGGUUUUGAACGAGGAAUUCCUUGUAAGCAUGGUUUAUCAUCCGACGCUGAAUGCGUCCCUGCCCUUUGUACACACCGCCCGUCGCUCCUACCGAUGAGUCGUCCGGUGAAGUUCGUAGACCUCGUGAUCGCGGAUCACUGGGGGAAGCAAAAUGAACCUCGCGGUUUAGAAGAAGGAGAAGUCGUAACA
rnacentral:rRNA from 1 species